CCCUGUAUUCAAAAGUGAGUGUGGGCUUUCCACGCCCUGGUCAUUUGUAGUGCAGGGAGAGGAAAAGCCUCUCCCAUGUUUGGAAGGUUGCUAUUGUCCUUGCCAAGCUUUGAUGCUUUUGAACA